AUGAACGCUGGCGGCGUGCCUAAUACAUGCAAGUCGAGCGAACAGACGAGGAGCUUGCUCCUCUGACGUUAGCGGCGGACGGGUGAGUAACACGUGGAUAACCUACCUAUAAGACUGGGAUAACUUCGGGAAACCGGAGCUAAUACCGGAUAAUAUAUUGAACCGCAUGGUUCAAUAGUGAAAGACGGUUUUGCUGUCACUUAUAGAUGGAUCCGCGCCGCAUUAGCUAGUUGGUAAGGUAACGGCUUACCAAGGCAACGAUGCGUAGCCGACCUGAGAGGGUGACCGGCCACACUGGAACUGAGACACGGUCCAGACCCCUACGGGAGGCAGCAGUAGGGAAUCUUCCGCAAUGGGCGAAGCCUGACGGAGCAACGCCGCGUGAGUGAUGAAGGUCUUCGGAUCGUAAAACUCUGUUAUUAGGGAAGAACAAAUGUGUAAGUAACUAUGCACGUCUUGACGGUACCUAAUCAGAAAGCCACGGCUAACUACGUG
rnacentral:rRNA from 1 species